AGCGAACGCUGGCGGCAUGCUUAACACAUGCAAGUCGCACGGUCAGCAAUGGCAGUGGCGGACGGGUGAGUAACACGUAGGAAUCUAUCCUUGGAAUGGGGGACAACCGUGGGAAACUACGGCUAAUACCGCAUGAUCCCUGAGGGGCAAAGGCGAAAGUCGUUUGAGGAGGAGCCUGCGUCUGAUUAGGUAGUUGGUGGGGUAAAGGCCUACCAAGCCUACGAUCAGUAGCUGGUCUGAGAGGAUGAUCAGCCACAUUGGGACUGAGACACGGCCCAAACUCCUACGGGAGGCAGCAGUGGGGAAUAUUGGACAAUGGGCGCAAGCCUGAUCCAGCGAUGCCGCGUGGGUGAAGAAGGUCUUCGGAUUGUAAAGCCCUUUUGGCGGGGACGAUGAUGACGGUACCCGCAGAAUAAGCUCCGGCUAACUUCGUG
rnacentral:rRNA from 1 species